rnacentral:rRNA from 1 species
UACAGAGGGUGCGAGCGUUAAUCGGAUUUACUGGGCGUAAAGGGCGCGUAGGUGGUGAGGUAAGUAAGUUGUGAAAUCCCUGGGCUUAACCUGGGAAUGGCGACUUAAACUGUCUUGCUGGAGUACAAUAGAGGGUAGUGGAAUUUCCGGUGUAGCGGUGAAAUGCGUAGAUAUCGGAAGGAACACCAGUGGCGAAGGCGGCUACCUGGAUUGAUACUGACACUGAGGCGCGAAAGCGUGGGGAGCAAACAGG